UACAGAGGUCCCAAGCGUUGUUCGGAUUCACUGGGCGUAAAGCGCACGUAGGCGGCUUUGUAAGUUAGAGGUGAAAGCCCGGGGCUCAACCCCGGAACUGCCUUUAAUACUGGCAAUCUCGAGUCCGAGAGAGGUGAGUGGAAUUCCUAGUGUAGAGGUGAAAUUCGUAGAUAUUAGGAAGAACACCAGUGGCGAAGGCGGCUCACUGGCUCGGUACUGACGCUGAGGCGCGAAAGCGUGGGAGCAAACAGGAUUGAGAAACCCG
rnacentral:rRNA from 1 species